UAAAAGGAGGGCUAAAGGAUCCAUCUCCAUUUGGCAAUGGCAGAACCAACAAGCUCGGUUGAAGUAGUUGAAGUUUGCAGGGUGGCUCCUCCUCCUCCACCCUCACCCGGUGCAUUCGCGUCCCCGAGCUCCCUUCCCCUUACCUUCUUCGACAUCCGUUGGUUAAGAUUUGCGCCGGUCCAGAACCUUUAUUUCUACCAAAUGCCUACUUCCUCUACAACACCGCUCUUCUUUGAUUCCAUACUUGUCCCAAAACUCAAAGCCUCACUCUCUAACACCCUCCAGCACUUUCUACCUUUGGCAGGAAAUCUCACUUGGCCUCAAGACUCCCAAAAACCUGUCCUUAACUAUGUCCAAGGCGACACCGUUUCGCUCACAAUAGCAGAGUCUGGUGCUGAGUUCUACCAUCUUUCAAGUGGUGACUUUGUUGAAGCCAGAGAGUACCAUCCUCUUGUACCCCGAUUGGAAGCGUCUCUUGAACAAGCUGCAGUGAUGGCAUUGCAAAUCACUGUCUUUCCCAACUGUGGCUUUUCGAUUGGAACUUCCUUUAACCAUGCAGUCCUAGAUGGCAAGAGUAUGACUUUUUUUGUAAAAUCAUGGGCUCACAUUUGCAAACAUGAUGAUCAAUCUAAUUCAGUGCUACCUGAUGAGCUGAAACAAUUUUAUGACAGAGUCAUUCAGGAUCCAGCUGAGCUUGGAACAAUCUACUCGAACGACUAUCGAAAUAAGGACGGUCCCGACAAUAGGAGCUUAAUGUUUUGGGAGAUGAAACCACCACCAGACUCAAUCCGAGGCACCUUUGAAUUCACACGAGCAGAUACAGAAACACUGAGGCAAUCGUUCAAUGCUAAAAUGGCAGAGCAGAAACCAGUUCAUGUGUCAACUUUCACUCUAGCUUGUGCCUAUACAUGGGUUUGCGUAGUCAAAGCAGAGGACAUAAAAGCUGACAAAGCACGUCUGGUCUUUAGCAUGGACUGCAGGUCUCGCUUGGACCCUCCUAUACCUGCAAACUAUUUUGGAAACUGCGUAGCAGGAUGUAUGAUAGUUGUCGAAACGAAAGGCUUGCUUGGAGAAGAUGGGUUGGUUGUCGCCGUGAAUGCAAUUAGUGAAGCUAUAGAAAGAUUGAAGAAGGGGGUUUUGGAUGGGGCAGAGACUUGGGUUUCAAGGUUGUUUGCUGUGAGAAGUGAGGAAAGAAUACUCAGCAUUGCUGGUUCAAAUCUGUUCGGAAAUUAUGAUACUGAUUUUGGAUGGGGAAGACCAAAGAAGUUUGAGAUUGUUUCCAUAGAUAGAAACAGAGCUAUCUCCCUUUCAGAUUCCAAGACUGGUGCUGGGGCUAUUGAAGUUGGGUUGGCUUUAGACAAACACGACAUGCACGUUUUUGCUUCUCUAUUUGCUAAAGGUCUUCGAAACCUUUGAAGCGCAUGAAGCCUCCGCAACAACAUUUUCUUUUUGCACUUUAUAUUUUCUGGAAUAAUAAUUUGGGAUUCGUUGGUCAAUAGUAGACCAACUUUGUAUGCUCUCGACAAUCAGCUUUGUGAUGAUGUUUUUCUUUGGACCAGGUGCAGGUGGCUCUGUCCGUCUCUUUUCCUAUGUACUGCAUCAAAUAAACUUCCUAGUGCUUUUUUUUUGGUCAACUAUAGAAGUUGACAUACUUUGUAUGCUCUCAAUAAUGACCUUUGUGAACAUGUUAUUCUUUGGACCAGUCUGUUUCUUUUCGCUGGGAAGUUUCGUCAAACACUUGGUGGGCAUAUUUGGUUCGCCCACCAAGCUUCCAAGGGGUCGCCGGAGCACCUUCCCAGCCACUUUUCCGGCCUCCAAGGGGACGGCACUGUGGGUCCGCCCAACCCUUGGCUUUUCUGUGAAUUAGAUAUGGUCAAUAGUUUCUAACUCCAAUAGUCCAAUGGCAGAGCUAAGCUCAACCUCAGUGAAACUAGUUGGGGUCUGCAGUGUAGCUCCACAACCACAACCAGAUGUUGCAGAGUUUUCUCUUCUCCUAACCUUCUUCGACCUCCUAUGGCUAAGGUUUCCACACUUCCACCGCCUUUUCUUCUACGAAAUUUUGGCUUCCUCUGCCUUAGCUGACACAAAACCCUUCUUUGAUUCUCUACUCCAUCAAAAACUCAAAGCCUCACUCUCUGUCACCCUCCAACACUUUCUACCUCUGGCAGGAAACAUCACUUGGCCCCAAGACUCCCACAAACCCGUUCUCAGUUAUGUCCAAGGCGACGCCGUUUCGCUCACCACAGCCUCUUAACAAGAAGAAGAGGAUGAGAUUUAGGGAUUUCAAUUUUCAAGAGAAAAGGAAGAGAGAGAGCAAGAAGGAAAAUAGCCUUCUAAUUCUGUAUUUCUGAUUAUGUGUAAAUGAAAUGGUAAAAACACAGCUUUAGUACAGUGCAUAUCUCCUAAUAUUACGCUAACAAACUGAACAAAUACAGCUAACUUUCACUAACAGACUUAACAGAGAGCUCGUGAGCUGCACAUGAUGACUUAACAAUUUCUUAACUAAAACACAUGGUUAACAUUUUCCCUACCCAGUUGAACUCCUCAGUCUAAGAUGAAGACAGUGUUGUAAGAAAAUGGGAUUGUGUAACCCCUUUGUAAAAACAUCUGCUAUUUAUUCUUCAGUAGAUAUAUACUGCACAAUAAGAUCCUUUCUUUGUACCUUCUCUCUCAUAAAGUGGAAGUCUAUAUCCAAAUGCUUAAUUCGAGAAUGGUAUACUGGGUUUGAGCUUAAAGCCAGUGCUGAUAAGUUGUCACAGUACAUAAUAGGAGCAUCUAGCAGAAACAUCUUCAGAUCCAAGAGAACUUGUCGAAUCCAUGACAAGUCAGCAGCUGUGUUUGCUAGGGCCCUGUAUUCUGCCUCUAUUGAACUCCUAAACACAGAACCUUGCUUUUUGGACUGCCAGGAGAUAGGAUUACAACCCAAGAAUACUACACAUCCGGUUGUAGACCUUCUAGUAUUGAGAUCCCCCGCCCAGUUUGCAUCACUGUAUGCAUUAAGCUGCCAAGGACCCUUUGUAAAACUAAUUCCAUACUCUAAUGUAACCCUUUACAUAUCUGAGAAACGCUUCACCAAAAAAUAGUGAACCUCAGUUGGAUUAUUCAUAUAUUGACACACAUGAUUCACAGCAUAAGCCAGAUCAAGUCUUGUAAAUGUUAGAUACUGUAGAACACCUAUGAGACUACGAAACAUAGUAGGAUCAGCCAAGGACUCACUGUCAGUCUGUAACACUUGAGUGUGUGGCUUACAAGGUGUUGCACAGGCUCUACAUGAACUCAUGCCGGCUUUAUGUUGUAGAUCCUUUGCAUACUUAGUUUGACUCACGAAUAUGUCACCAAAGAAAUUAUAGGAAAUCUGCAGACCUAAGAAAAAUGUGAGUUGCCCCAUAUCUUUCAUUUCAAACACCUCACUUAAGUCUGUAACCACUCUUUGAAUCAACUGAUCACUCGAACCUGUUAUAAUGAUAUUAUCAACAUAUAGGAGUAGAAUGAUAAUAUCAUUCCCAAUAUGCUGCACAAACAGACUUGGAUAUGAAUGUGAAGAUUUAAAGCCAAGAGUAGGUAAGUAACCUGUGAAUUUAGCAUUCCAUGCCCUUGGAGCAUGUUUAAGACCAUACAAAGAUUUUUUUUAGUUUACAUACAAACUGUGGAUGAGUAGAAUCUUCAAAACCAGGAGGCUGUUUCAUAAAAACUUCUUAUUCAAGAUCGCCAUGUAGGAAAGCGUUCUUGAAAUCAAGUUGUCGUAGUUUCCAUUGGUUCAUAGCAGCUAUGCUUAAUACUAACCUCACCGUUGUGUGUCUAACAACAGGACUGAAGGUUUCCCCAAAGUCAAAACUAGGCUCUUGACUGAACCCCUGAGCAACAAGUCUGGCCUUAUAUCUACCCACUGAACCAUCUGGAUUUCUCUUUAUUUUAUAAACCCACUUACUGCCAAUAAUAUUUUUAUCACCUGGACUAGGAACUAAGAUCCAUGUGUCUUACAUAUGAAGAGCAUCAAUCUCCUCUUUCAUAGCUUGCCUCCACUCAGAAGAAAAAGAAGCCACCUUAAAACUAGAAGGCUCAUCUAAUUCCGGAAUAGCAUGAAGACAGGUAAAAUAACCUUGAUAAUCUGGGAACUCUUUGUUCUGAACUAUACCGCUUUUGGACCGAGUAAUCAUGGGAUGAUCAUUGAUAGGAAUUAAACAAACCGAUGAGUCCGGAGUACUAACAGAAGAAGAGGAAACAUUGGAGACCUCAAACGGAAACAUAACCUGUAAUUGUUGUUCAUCCAACGAAGCUUGAUGUUGGAUAGGAGAUAAAGACCCAGGAGUAGAUGAGAUGGACUGGGACUGAGAAGUAGAUACUUGUGUAUCAGAGGCUAGAGACGAUGGAUCCUGAGAAUUAAGAGAAGCUUGAGAAAGCCUUGAAGGCAGAGAAACAAUGACAGGAGCCACUGAUGCAGUAGAAGAAAACAGAGAAGACUGCCAACAUAUACCAGGGUUAAUUUGCUUAAAAGGAAAUACAGCUUCAUCAUGAAGAACAUGCCUUGAGAUUACACAUUUUGUAGUAAUUCGAUUGUAGCAACUAUCUCCUUUGUAACUAGGUGAAUAUCCCAAGAACACGCACUGAGUGGUUCGCGGUUGUAACUUAUGCACAAUAAUGUCUUAGAUACGGAUAUACCACAAUACCAAAUAUUCUCAAAGAAGCAAGAUUAGGAUGAUGACUAAAUAAACGAAAAUAAGGAGACUGAUUAUGUAAAACGGAGCUGGGCAUUUGAUUGAUAAGAUACACAGCAUGAGCAGUAGAAUGAAACCAAAAUUGAGCUGGCAAGGCUGCUGUAGUUAACAGGGUAAUGGCUGUUUCAAUAAUAUGCCUAUUCUUCCACUCUGCCAGUCCAUUUUGCUGCGGAGUAUACGGGCAAGACAAACGACGCACAAUUCCCUUGGAAGCCAAAAAAUCUGUAAAAACUUUGCUAAGAAACUCACCACCACCAUCACUCUAAAAACGCUUAAUAGCAGCACUGAAUUGAUUUUGUAUCAAAGCAUGAAACUGUAGGAAUUUGGAGAAAACUUUUGAUUUAUUGAAAAGAGGAUAAACCCACAAAUAUCCAAUACAUUCAUCAAGGAAGGAAACAAAAUAUCUGUAACCCGCAAUAGAUUUGUAAUGGGAAGGGCCCCAUACGUCACUAUGAACUGUAUGAAAAGGAAUUUCAGACCUACUAUGUCUAACAGGAAAUGGAAGCCAUUGCAUCUUCCCUUGAAGACGAGUUGAACACAAGGGAUUCAAAUUGGAAGAUUAGAGGCUUUAAGCAUUGAUUGCACCACUUCAUUCGUUGGAUGGCCAAGUCUGUGAUGCCAAAUUGAAGACUUAACAUGUUGACCAAGCAAAGCUACUUUCUUGGAUAGGCAAUGAGAGGAUACAUAAGAGGGAAUAGGAUACAACCCGUUGUUACUCCGACCUUUUAGAAGGAUUGUCUUGGUGACUCGAUCCUGUAUCACAAAACCAGAAGCAUCAAAGGUGAUAACACAAUUAUUAUCUUUGCACAGCUGAUGCACAGACAAGAGAUUAGCAGAUAACUGUGGAACAUGAAAUACUGAUGGCAUUUUAAGAGAAGUAGAAGCACAUGCAAUGGCAGUAGUACCAAUGUGUUUAAUUUUCAAACCUUCUCCAUUACCAACAAUCACUUGCUCUGUAGAUUCACAAGGAGCAACAUGACUUAAGGAGGAAAUAUCAGACACCAUGUGAUGAGAAGCCCUACUAUCUGCAAUCCAGACUUGAUCAGGCAUAUAGGAAGUUUGGGCAGUCAUAGCGGAAAGGUUGGAAGGAGGAGCUUGACCCUGAUAGACAUAGUUGGAUCUAUGGAAACAAUCCAAGGCUCCAUGACCCUUCUUACCACAGAUUUGACAUUCAAUAACCUAAGAUCCAUGCCUAGAAGAGCUUACCUCAUGGAAAAAUAACAAUUAGCAUCUGUGUGACCCCGUUUGCUGCAUAUCUGACAUUCAGGAACAACUGCAUUUCUGAGAAAAAUUGGAACCAAAUCGAUUUCCUGAGAAAGAUGAAGGAGAGGCUCUGCUUUGAAAUCUGCCUCUUCCAGAACCAGAAUGAUUAGUGAAACCAGAAAAACCUCCAUGCUGACUAUUGGCAAUACCGUAAUGCUGAUGAUCGUUAAAACGACUAAAACCAUCAUUGUUACUAAGAACAGGUCUUGAACCAGAAUUGCGAUCCAAUGAAGGCAUAACAGAACGAUCAUAGGACCCCAUAUAGGCAACUGGUAAAGAAGGUGGAGUAGGCAAUAAACCCAUACCAGAAUUAGAAACGCCUAUAGCAUUCACAGAAGCAUAUAACGAAGACGACAGAGUGACGAACAUCGCAGAGUGAGGAACCAAUCGAGCUUCUGCGGUUUGCUCUGCAGCCAGCAAUUGAGCGCGAAAAUCCUUCAAAGAAAUUGGAGAAUCCCGUGCAAUCAAAAUCGUCUUGAUCACGUCAUAUUCCUGAGGGAGGCCAUUAAGAGUAGCAAUCAUAAAGUCAUCGUCAGACACCUUAACCCCCAGCUUGAACUAAUUGGUCAGGACCAUUUUCAGACGCAAGAGAAAGCGCUCGAUCGAAUCUCCACCCUUCUGGGCCAUAUGUAAUUCAGUCUUCAAAUGAUUGAUUCGUUUCCUAAAAAUCGAUGCAUAACGAUCGGAAAGACUUAACCAGGCGUCACGAGCAGUCUUGGUGCCAAUAACAUACUCUAUGGCCUCAUCAGAGAGAGUGGCAAUGAGCAAACUGAGUAAAGCCUUAUCAGUACAAAUCCAUUCCUUGUAAGCAGCAGUAACUUCAGAUGUAACACCCUCCUCAUCAACAAUAGCAAAGCGAGGAGGAGCAACUUCAGUUCCGUCAAAAUGCCCAAACAAAUCAUAACCCUGAAGAAUGGAUUCCAAUUGAAAACCCCACUUGAGAAAAUUAUCGUCUUUGAGAAGAAGAGUAAUCAUCCCAAGAAAACCGUCAAUUUUGACCGAAGAGGAAGAAGAAGAAGUCGCCAUUGAUGAACAGAAAAGAUAGAAAAGAGGAAAGAACAAUAGAGACAGAGCAAGAGAAUAGCACAGCGAAGAGACAGUUCAGAAAAAUCGGUAGAGGAUUGAAAGUGUCAAGCCACGAUGGGCUCUGAAACCAUCUUACAAGAAGAAGAGGAUGAGAUUUAGGGAUUUCAAGAGAAGAAGGAAGAGAGAAAGCAAGAAGGAAAAUAGCCUUGUAAUUCUGUAUUUUUGAUUAUGUGUAAAUGAAAUGGUAAAAGCACAGCUUUAGUACAUUGCACAUCUCCUAAUAUUACGCUAACAAACUUAACAAAUACAGCUAACUCUCACUAACAGACUUAACAGAGAGCACAUGAGCUGCACAUGAUGACUUAACAAUUUCUUAACUAAAAGACGUGGUUAACACAGCCCAGUCUGAUGCUGAUUUCCACCGUCUUUCAAGCAACGACUUCAACAUUGAAGCCAAAGAAUACCAUCCUCUUGUACUCCAAUUGGCAAUAUCUCGUGAAAAAGCUGCUGUGAUGGCUUGUCAAAUCACUCUCUUUCCCAACAGCAGCGGCUUCUCCAUUGGAAUUUCCAUGCACCAUGCAUCUCUUGAUGCAAAACUUUGUUCAUGUUUCUGAAAUCAUGGGCCCACUUAUGCAAACAUGAACCUGAUACUUUGUUGCAUGAUCAGCUGAAACCAUUUUAUGACAGAAGGGUCUUCAUCCAGGACCCAGCUGUGCUCGAGCUCGAAGCAAUCUACUUGAACCAGUUUCUGAAUAUGGACCAACGACCCAACAACCGAAGCUUGAUGGUUGCCACCCGUUAUAAAUCUCUAACGCUACGGGAUUCGAUUCGAGGCACGUUUGAAUUCACUAGCACAAAAAUGGAAGCACUAAGGCAAUCUGUCAUGAUCAAGAAACAACAACAAUAUCAUCAAUCUGUUCUAAAUUUGUCAACGUUUUGUCUAACAUGUGCCUACACAUGGGUUUGCUUAGUCAAAGCAGAAGAAGAAGAAGAAGAAAAAGAAGAAAUAAAAGACGACCAAAUACUUAUGGUGCUUAGCGUGGACUGUCGGUCUCGCUUGGACCCUCCUAUACCAAGCAAACGGGAGCAUGUAGGAGCAAAUUUUCCCAAAAGAAUAUUCGAUUGGUAGAUUCCCUUUUCUUCUUCGCCACUUCUUUCUCUCUGCAAAAUAGAACCAAUAAGAGGACCACACCCGGGGAGUGUUGGCCAAAGGCCCUCCGAUGCCUAAAUUAGUUCAAUUGAAUUGUAUAGAAAACAAUAGCUAAUAGGGUACGGAGAUAUGUUUAUGGUGUAAAUCGAGCGGGCGGAGCCAUAUGUGAAAGAGAAAGAGAGAGAAGGUGGCUAGGGUUUGAGAGGAAUUUUCUUCAGAGUUUUUAGUAGAGAUUUCAGACGUACCUCAACCCUUAUGUGUGGCCAUCCUUUUAUAGUGGUCUCGGAGGCUAGGGUUUCAAAGGAAUAAUUCUGUAGAUGAAAAGGAAUUAUUCCUCCCCGAUUUGGAAUUGAUUUGAUUAAUUAGGGAUUUGAUUAAUUAGGGUAAAUCAAAUCCCUAUCAAAUCCCCAAUUGUGGUAGGAAUCAAAUAAAUUCCUAACUUAAUUAGGUAACUCCUCAUUUAAUUGGGAAUUGUGGUAGGAAUUAAAUCAAUUCUCAACCUAAUUAGGUAACAUUUCAUUUAUUUGGGUAAUCUCCAAUUAAAUUGAGUAACUCCCAAUUAGGUUGAAUAAUUCCCAAUUAGGUCGAAUAAUCCCCAAAUGGAAGAAAUUAUUUGACCUAGGGUUCUAAUUUAAUUCGGUUCCCACAGAACAUUUGUAGAAAGAAAAGGACUUUUGGGAGAAGAUGGGUUCUCUGUGGCUGUAAAUGAGAUCAGUGAAGCCCUAAAAGGUUUGGAUAACGGGGUCUUGAAUGGGGCAGAGAACUUAGUUUCAAGUUUGUACCUUUCUGAAUCUGAUCUUCAGGCUACUACUGAUCAUUCCAGAGUGUUUACCACUGCUGGAUCACAUCAGUUUAAGAUGCACGAUACUGAUUUCGGGUGGGGAAGACCAAAGAGUACCGAAGUGGUUCCUAUAGGUAGAAGAGAAGCCAUCACUUUUUCAGAUGGCAAGAAUGGAGGUGGAGUUGUUGACAUUGGCUUGGUUCUGAAGAAACAUCACAUGGAGGUUUUUGCUUCUCUAUUUCCUAAGAAAGCAGAGAAUAAUUUGCCUGCAUCGGCUCCACCUGCUUCUGUGCCUGAAGCAUCAGCGCCAACUAGCACUAGUACCCCAGGGAGUAAUGAUACUAAUGAGGAAGGUAUGCUAGGCUUUUCUGAAUUUUCUCCCUUUUUAUUCUCUUUAUAUUUGCAAGUUUCCAUUUGAAAAUCUUCAUAUAACUGAAAUAUAAUUUGUAAAUGUGCAUUUAUCUGAAUUCAGUCAUCAAAUUGCUUUUCUAUAAUGACGAAAUUGCAUUUAUUGUAGUUGAGGGUUUUUCUGUUUACGUAAGGAAUUUGCCCUUAAAUGUGACGGCUGAUCAGCUUGAGGAAGAAUUCAAGAAAUUUGGACCAAUAAAGCAAGGAGGUAUCCAAGUUCGAAAUACGAAGGUUAGUCUCUAAUGUGAGAUGUCUUCCGUGCCAGAAGUGUCUCCUGCUCAGAUAUAGAUUUUCCGACAUAUUUGUGUGUGCAGCUGCAGGGAUACUAUUUUGGAUUUGUUGAGUUUCUGUUUGCAAGUUCCACGAAUGUCCCGUUUGGUUCACGGAAUGAAUUUGAGGGGAAAUCAUUUUCCAAGUAAUGGGAAAUGGAAGAUUCAUUUCCCAAAUUUGGUAAUGCUGGGAAAGUAACCGAGAGAUAUUGUUUUAUUUCCUUUCCCAUGUAUAAAUUUUCAAUUAUACCCAUAUUAAAAAAACAAUGCAUUUAAUGAUUUAUUGUAAUUCUAAAUUGUUAAUGGGGACAAAAUUGUCAUGAAAAAUAUUUAUUUGAUAUUAGCUCAUUUUCCCAAACUUUCCCAUGAUGAGGGAAAACAAAACCCAAGUUUGGAGAAUGGCUUCACUUUCCCCAUACUUUCUCAUGGGUCAGGAAACGAUUUCUCAUGCCUGGACUUACCAAAUAUGGAAAAGCAAUUGAUUUCUCAUUCCCAAGUCUCCUUUCCCAUGAACCAAACGGGGCCUAGUGCCAUUCAGGUAGGUGUUUAAAUUCUAUUUCCUAUGUUCUGUAUUCAAGUUCCAUGACUAGUGCCAUUCAUGAAUAGUGAUAUAGGAUGCGGAUUCCCCUCAACAAGUUACAGCAGUUAACCUAAUUUGACAAAAAUUGGAGAUUGGACUUGAACUGUUUAAAUUGAAAACCACCAGGGCAAAAAUGAUCAAAUUGAAACCACAGGGAUCUUAGUGAUAAAAGCGGUAAACCACAUGACCAAAAGUUACGUUUUGCCAACUUUCAUUUAUGGUUGUUCAUAUGCAUCUCAUUCUAUAGGAAGUGCAAUGAAGAUAUUUACUCUUUAAGAUAUCCUUACUUCUUAAGCUAUUCUUCUUAGAACCUUACGAAAGUAAGUCAGUCAUUCAUAUGAGUAAUCAAGUCUAUAAUUUGAACACAACAGGAAGUCAAAUUCAUUAGGGUUUAGGGUUGGUUUGGUGAUAAGUAGUAAACGUACGGCGUUGGACGAAUUGAAAACCAAUCCAAUGGUGACAUUUACCUAUAUGUACUAACACCUAGUACAUAAGCCUUCGGAAUGAAUUGAUUACCAAUCCAGUGGUGACAUUUACCGGUACGGUGAUCCCCCACUUUUAAAACUUGAAAAUGAUGAUAUACCAAACCAAGUGUGGUUUUGUGGCUUCUAUUGUGUGGCGUGGCCUGAUAUCAGCCCCAUUUUGUAUUUCACCAAAUACACGUCCUUUUGCUCUUAACGAGAGAGAAUAAAUUCUCCUUUUUCGUAUGCUUCUACGGUGCUGCAGUGCAUACAACAACUGCACUUCUUGUUGUUUUGAUCAUUCGGUGUUUGCCUUAUAUUUGUCUCCAUUUCCUAUUGGGUGUGCUAGCAACUUUGUGAAUGACAAGAAGAGUUCGUAAGUUUCUCUUCUAUUUUUGCUGUUUCCUCUUUUUAUUGGCUCAAAUGUUUGAGAGUGUAUUGGGUGUAUUGGCUCAAAUCAUAGGCUACGAAUUCGAACUAGUAUAAAUCAUGUGUAUUAUUGGUUUAUUUAUAUUUGUCAAAUUUUGCAUCUGCUUGAUAUACUACGCCUCCGUACAACACUAAGCACUUGGACAGAUUCCACCUGACCUGUCUAGUAGUAGUGAUAAAAAGAGGGCAAAAGGAUCCAUCUCCAUUUAGCAAUGGCAGAACCAACAAGCUCGGUUACAGUAGUUGAAGUUUGCAGGGUGGCUCCUCCUCCCCCACCCUCACCCGGUGCAUUCGCGUCCCCGAGCUCCCUUCCCCUUACCUUCUUCGACAUCCGUUGGUUAAGGUUUCCGCCGGUCCAGAGCCUUUAUUUCUACGAAAUGCCUACUUCCUCUGCAACACCACUCUUCUUUGACUCCAUACUUGUCCCAAAACUCAAAGCCUCACUCUCUUACACCCUCCAGCACUUUCUACCUCUGGCAGGAAACCUCACUUGGCCUGAAGACUCCCAAAAACCCGUCCUUAACUAUGUCCAAGGCGACACUGUUUCGCUCACAAUAGCAGAGUCUGGUGCUGACUUCUACCAUCUUUCAAGUGGUGACUUCGUUGAAGCCACAGAGUACCAUCCUCUUGUACCCCGAUUGGAAACGUCUCAUGAACAAGCUGCAGUGCUGGCAUUGCAAAUCACUGUGUUUCCCAACUGUGGCUUUUCGAUUGGAACUUCCAUGCACCAUGCAGUCCUAGAUGGCAAGAGUUCAACUUUAUUUGUAAAAUCAUGGGCUCACAUUUGCAAACAUGAUGAUCAAUCUAAUUCAGUGCUACCUGAUGAGCUGAAACAAUUUUAUGACAGAGUCAUUCAGGAUCCAGCUGAGCUUGGAACAAUCUACUCCAACGACUAUCAAAAUAAGGACGGUCCCAACAAUAGGAGCUUAAUAUUUUGGGAGAUGAAACCACCACCAGACUCAAUCCGAGGCACCUUUGAAUUCACACGAGCAGAUAUAGAAACACUGAGGCAAUCGUUCAAGGCUAAAAUGGCAGAGCAGAAACCAGUUCAUGUGUCAACUUUCACUCUAGCUUGUGCCUAUACAUGGGUUUGUGUAGUCAAGGCAGAGGACAUAAAAGCUGACAAAACACGUCUGAUCUUUAGCAUGGACUGCAGGUCUCGCUUGGACCCUCCUAUACCAGCAAACUAUUUCGGAAACUGCAUAGCAGGAUGUAUACCAGUUGCCGAAACGAAAGGCUUGCUUGGAGAAGAUGGGUUGGUUGUCGCCGUGAAGGCAAUUAGUGAGGCUAAAGAAAGUUUGGAGAAGGGGGUUUUGGAUGGGGCAGAGAAUUGGGUUUCAAGGUUGUUUGCUGUGAGCGAGGGAAGAAUGCUCAGCAUUUCUGGUUCACAUCGGUUCGGAUUUUAUGAUACUGAUUUUGGAUGGGGAAGACCAAAGAAGUUUGAGAUUGUUUCCAUAGAUAGAAACAGAGCUAUCUCCCUUUCAGAUUCCAAGACUGGUGCUGGGGCUAUUGAAGUUGGGUUGGCUUUAGACAAACACGACAUGCACGUUUUUGCUUCUCUAUUUGCUAAAGGUCUUCGAAACCUUUGAAGAGCAUGAAGCUUCCGCAACAACAUUUUCUUUUUGCACUUUAUAUUUUCUGGAAUAAUAAUUUGGGAUUCGUUGGUCAAUAGUAGACCAACCUUGUAUGCUCUCGACAAUCAUUUGGAAUAAUAAUUUCAAAUAUAUAUAUGAAAUAGUAUUUUAAAUAUAUAUAUAAGCUCCGAUCUCUUGAACCACAGGGACUGUGGUUGUGGUCAUCCACCGUUUGAUGUAACAUCCAACGUUUCAAAAAAAUUUCUUAAAAAGAGUGCAAGAGUGAGUGAACCGUUGAAUUUACAUCCAACGGUGAGUGACCACAAAUCUCUUGGACCCGUGUAGUCCAAGAAAUCGGGACUGAUAUAUAUAUAUAUAUAUAUAUUAAUAUUUUGGGAAAUUAAAUGUUUUGUUAUCUAUUUAGUUUAUAAUUUAAAUUAUAUUUAAUUGAUUAUAUAUGUACAGGGAGCUUUUAUUGAGGGAUCUCUCGAAUAAGCUUAUUUGAGAGACACUUUUAUAAGACUCACUCAGUAUUGUAUUUCACGAAUUCAAACCAUCUAUUUUAAAAAUAAAAUAAAAACAACAUUAAAAAAUAAUUAAAAAUUAUCCACGACAAGUUUUCAUAUUAUGAUAACUUAGCAACUAUUGUUGAUUUUAAAGGACUUUGAAAUGGCCAUUGGGCUGUCAAAAGGUAGAGACUAUGCGAAAUGCAAUGGAUGUGAUCUCCCUAUAGUCAUAGAGUGAAAUGCAAUGCAAACAAUAAAACUAAGUACACUUUUCCCAUUUAUACUGAUUUCUAUCUUGAAUUUAUAUUAUUAUUUCUAACUUUAAUGUGAAAAGGAAGGAGCAUUAAAUGAAUCAUGUCUAAUUAUUUUCUACCAAAAUCCAAAAAAAAAAAAAAAAAAAUUCUAUUUAAAUCUUACACUUUUUUUUGUUCACCCUAAUACUUAAGUAAUUAGUCUCUUAAAAAGACAAAAAAAAAGAAAAAAAGUCAUCCAACUUAAUACUUAACCCUAAUACAUCUAUACACACACCCCACCACUCUUCAUAUUAAGUUUUAGAAAAACACACUCCUCUACACCCCAUUAUUGUUAGAUUACUCAUCUCUUUCAAUCCAAAAAAUCUACUAUACUCUCAUCUUCUCUUCACAAAACCUAAAUACGGUAUGCAAAUAGUGGCUUGUGGGUCGUCAAUUGAGGUUUGUAAUGUGAAAAGUCGUUAUCAGGAAGACCACCUGCUAAUUUUCCCAAGCAAACUUCUGAAUUUUGUGCAAGAAUUUGAUCAGGGCCUCUCAAGGAAGGUAAAGACUGUGAGUCUCUUUGUUUUACAAUAAGUAAUGAUAGCUGAAAUUAGCUGUUAAUCACAACGCUUCAAAGUAGAAUGAUGAGGGGCAAAAUAGCGGGGGGUGGGAAUGAUGAGUUUUUUAAUUUAUUUUAUUCUGGGUGUGUAUUUAGGGGUAAUUUGGAAAGAUAGUGGAGUUUUCUUAGAAAUUGUAAAAGUUUGAAUUAAAAAUUGGGAUAGACUUAAAAUAAAGAGUAAACAAAGAGAAGUACGGAGUUUAAAUAGAAAAACUCCACAACAAAAAAAUUCUAUUAUUUCUAAGGCAAGUUGCUUUUUUAAACAACAAAGCGCAUCCUUAAGAGCAAGUCCAGCAGUGGGAGCUGGACUCGGGCUGGGGGGGGGUUUGGGCAAAAAAAGGAGGUCCAGCAGUGAAGAAGCAGCCCGGACAAGCGUGGGGUCCACCAGACAGGGCAGGUCCGAAGGCGAUUUCGGCCCGAGCUCGGGCCCGAGGGCGAUGAUGUCAUUGCUGACGCCAGCGUGGCGUCAGCCCUCCUGAAUUCAAAUUUUUUUUACCGUUGGCGCGUGCAAUGCACGCGCCAACAUUAAAAAAAAAAUUUGAAUUCACCGCUACAGUAGUCGCCAACGGCUACUUGACACGUGGCAGCCUCUGGUCGCUCCGAUUCGAAUUUUUUCUUCAAUCCAACGGCAGCCAAUUUUUCUGCAAUAAAAAAUUGAAAAAAAAUCGAAUUUUAAAAAAAAAAAAUACACAAAAAUUAUUGAAUUUUUUGUGUAUAAAUACCAACCAAUACUCUUCACUUUUAACACCAAAUCCUCAUAUAUUUUCUUCUCCUUCUACUAUUGUUCACUUUCUCCUCAAAAUUUAUUCACUUUCUAUUCAAUAUUUUUUCACUUUGAAGUUGUAUUUUUUUUUCUAUCAUAUUAUGGGUUCUUCUAAUGAAAAUGGAGGGGCAUGGAGCAUGAUGGAAGAUGUUAGCUUGUGUGAGGUUUGGGUCCAAGUUAGUCAUUGUCCCGUAAUGGGCAAUGAGAUGAAAUUUUCUCAUAUGUGAAAAAAAAUUCAUCAAGCAUUUUGUGAAAGGGCAAUUGGUUCUACACGUACAGAAAUGGCAUUAUCCAGUAGGUGGAAAGUUCUUAAUAAAGAGUUGGCGAAAUGGAGAAAUGCCUUAGCAAAAGCGAUGGACAAGCAUCGAAGCGGAGAAAACUUAGCAGUGAGGUAAAUUAUUUGUCAUUUUCCUUCUAUUAAUUUCUAUGUCAUAUUAAUUUUUAUUUAAAUGUUUCUUGCAAUUUAUAUAUUUUGUUAAUAUGUCUCUAGUUUUUUUUUAUACAUGUUGCAUUUUUUUUAAAUUUAUUGAAUUUGCAUUAGUUUUUUUUACAUGUUGCAUUGCCAAUAUUUUUUAAAGUUUCUUGCAUUUCCAUUUAAUUUUUUUUUAUAGAUUAUGCAAGCUCAAAUGUGGUUUGGUGCUACGGGGCAAGGGAAAAAAAGUUUCAACCAUACCCAUUGUUGGGAGGUGGUGAAGACUUGUAAGAGAUUCCAAAUUAUUCCAACCGGUCCGACGGUAGUCUUGAACGAGACUCCACUUCAUGAGACGCCAGCAUCGGAUUCACCUAUGAAUUCCCCAAUGAGUCAAGACUCACCCAUUGAAAAGGAGGCAAGGCCUAUUGGGAGAAAGGCGGCGAAGGCGAAUAGAGGGAGUAAUUCUAGCAAGAAUGCAUCUAAAUUUUUGGAGGAACUUUCAAAGCACCAAGCCAUGAGAAUUGAAAUGGACUUGAAACAACAAGAGCACGAUAUGGCUAUUCAAGUCGAAUAUGCAAAAGAAAGGGAGUAUUGUACGCAAAGAAAGGGAGUAUAUACGCGAACAAAACAUUGAAAAAAAAGAUCGGGAAACCAUGGCCAUGGAUACAAGCCAUAUGUCCCCUAAAACAAAACAAUUUUGGAAGCUAGAACGAAGGGAUGUUAUGAGACGAAGACUUUUUCGUGACGAUGGACCUAGCAAUACGGAUUGGUUAAAUGAUGGAAACCAUUAAAAUAGUUUGUUUGCCUUUCAUGUCUUAGUUUACUUGCCUUUGAUUUCAUUGUAUUUUUUGUUUUGUUUAAUUCAUGUAUUUUAUUUUAUUAGUUGUAUUGCUUUUCUUUUAGUCAAUAAAGAAAAUAUUCAACAAAAAUCCUUUUUAUUCAAAACAUUCCAUACAUAAAAAACAAACCACAACCAAAGCAUAAAAAAUAAACAACCCACAACCAAAGCAUAAAAAAUAAACAACCUACAACCAAAGCAUAAAAAAUAAACAACCCACAACCAAAGCAUAAAAAAUAAACAACCUACAACCAAAGCAUAAAAAAUAAACAACCCACAACCAAAGCACAAAAAAUAAACAACAUACAACAUAAACAUAAUAAAUUAAAAACAACUUCUUCACUUCACUUCAUUCACCUUCAUUUCCUUCAUUGCCUUUCACCGCCCAUAAAUGCUCCAUCAAGUCAACUUGACGGUGUUCAUGAAUAUACGACGAUUGCAUCUCCGUGUAGCAAUCAAUCAUACGGGGCAUGAAACUACCGUCUCUAACCAACGGUUCAUGCUGCACUGGUUCUCCAUUUGGCCCCACUGGUUUUUCAUAAAUUCGUGUUAGGGCCGUAUCCUUGGGAUUUGGUUCAUACACGUCAUCAGCAUCGUAAUCAUAUUCAUCUUCCACAAUCAUGUUAUGGAGGAUGAUGCAAGUCAUCAUUAUACUCAUAAGCACCUCCUCGUCAAAUAGACGUGCUGCGCCCCUGAUAAUAGCCCACCGAGCUUGAAGGAUACCAAAGCACCUCUCAACAUCUUUUCUGUACCCCUCUUGAUAGCGAGCAAAAAAAAUUUUGCUUAUGGGAUCGGGGAUGUGGAAUUGUUUUCACAAAUGUUGUCCACCUUGGGUAGAUGCCAUCAGCUAGAUAAUACCCGUUCUGGUAGAUGGUAUUGUUAAUUUCAUAUGUGAUAUUUGGGGUUUCACCUCUCAAAACAUCAUUGAACACCGGGGAUUGACCUAGGACAUUCAAAUCGUUUUGAGAUCCGGCAACUCCGAAGAAGGCGUGCCAAACCCAUGUAUCAAAACCAGCAACUGCUUCCAGGAUGAUACUUUUCUGCCCUUUUCUAUUUCCGUAGUCCCCUUGCCAAGCAGUUGGACAAUUUUUCCACUGUCAGUGCAUGCAGUCAAUGCUACCAAUCAUGCCAGGAAAUCCUCGAGACUCAGCUUUUUGGAGAAGCCUUUGCAGGUCUCUGGGCGUAGGUCUGCGAAGGUAGUCUCUGGUGUAUAGAGUUUCCACUGCAUCACAAAAUCACACCAAGCUCUCCAAAACAGUGGACUUCCCCAUCCGAGCAAUCUCAUCCACCUGAUCAGCAGAUGACCCAUACGCCAACAUUCGUAUCACAGCUGUGAACUUCUGCUGUGGAAGAAGUCCCAAAUUUCCAGCACAAUUUCUCUUUUGAACAAAAUAUUCAUCAUAAUUGCAAAUAUCAUGCAUGAUUUUAUUGAACAAAUGGGGUUGCAGUCUAUAUCUCCCUCGAAAAUGAACAUCAGAGUACAGAGAUUGUGGGAUAAAAUAAUCUUCCAUAAGAUUCUUACCCCGUGAAUGUCUAUGUCUGUCCACAUUUGGGCGACGGCCUUCUCGUGAACCACGGCGACCCUGGUUUUCUUCCUCCAGCAAAGCAACUGCUAUGCCAAGUUGCUCAUCUAGUUCUCUCUGCGCCCUUUUGCUUGCAGCUCGUCUACGCAUUCUUUCUCUAGUUUCUCGCUCUUGCCUCUCCAAAACCUCUUCCAUGUCUGCCAUUGAGAAUGGAGAAUGAAAUCUAAAAUUUGAGAAAUGGAAGUGUAGAUAAGAACUGGGUGGGAGGUAUGAGCUGAACCUCUGGUUUUAUAGAAAAAUGUACACAUAUAGAUAUGAUACGCGGCGCAAUCUUAGAUGGUGAAAAUCUUAUCUGAAAUUUGAAAUUCAAAUGAAAUUUUAAAUUUCAAAUUUAUCUGAAAUUUGAAUUUCGAAAUGUAUCUGAAAUUUGACAUUUUGAAUUUAUCCGAAAUUUGAAUUUUGAAAUGUAUCUGAAAUUUAUCUGAAAUUUGAAACUGAAAAUCUUAUCCGAUAUGAAUAGUAAUGACACGUAGGAACCCAAAAAUCUUAUCCGAAAAUAUUAUCCAAAUUAAUUGUUUAAGUAAACAAAGUUGUGAAAAAAACAAAAAAAUGAAUAGUAUUUGCCAUGGCAAGCCCCAACUGCUGGAAACACAUUUUGCUGGAGGGGGCUAGGGCAGCCACUAUUCACGUGAAUAGUGGCUGCCCUAGGUCUCAUCUUGCCAUGGCAAAGGGCAACUGGUGGAAAUGCUCUAACUUGGUGUCCAAUGCCCAUGCGUUUUUCAAAGAAAAGGACGGCAGUGGUUAUGGGUGAAGGGUGAAGUUUCUUCGAACACAUGGUGGGCAUAUUGGGGUCGCCCAUGAAGCUUCCAAGGGGUCGCCGGAGCACCUUCCCAGCCACUUUUCCGGCCUCCAAGGGGUCCGCACUGUGCGUCCCCCCAACCCUUGGCAUUUCUGUGAAUUAGAUAUGGUCAAUAGUUUCUAACUCCAAUAGUCCGAUGGCAGAGCUAAGCUCAACCUCAGUAAAACUAGUUGAGGUCUGCAGUGUAGCUCCACAACCACAACCAGAUGUUGCAGAGUUUUAUCUUCCCCUAACCUUCUUCGACCUCCUAUGGCUAAGGUUUCCACACUUCCACCGCCUUUCCUUCUACGAAAUUUUGGCUUCCUCUGCCUCAGCUGACACAAAACCCUUCUUUGAUUCUCUACUCUUUCAAAAACUCAAAGCCUCACUCUCUGUCACCCUCCAACACUUUCUACCUCUGGCAGGAAACAUCACUUGGCCCCAGGACUCCCACAAACCCGUUCUCAGUUAUGUCCAAGGCGGCGCCGUUUCGCUCACCACAGCCCAUUCUGAUGCUGAUUUCCACCGUCUUUCAAGCAACGACUUCAACAUUGAAGCCAAAGAAUACCAUCCUCUUGUACCCCAAUUGGCAAUAUCUCGUGAAAAAGCUGCUGUGAUGGCUUUUCAAAUCACUCUCUUUCCCAACAGCAGCGGCUUCUCCAUUGGAAUUUCCAUGCACCAUGCAGCUCUUGAUGGCAAAACUUUGUUCAUGUUUCAAAAAUCAUGGGCCCACUUAUGCAAACAUGAACCUGAUACUUUGUUGUCUGAUCAGCUGAAACCAUUUUAUGACAGAAGGGUCUUCAUCCAGGACCCAGCUGGGCUCGAGCUCGAAGCAAUCUACUUGAACCAGUUUCUGAAUAUGGACCAACGACCCAACAACCAAAGCUUGUUGGUUGCCACCCGCUAUAAAUCUCUAACUAGAUUCGAUUUGAGGCACGUUUGAAUUCACUAGCACAAAAAUUGAAGCACUAAGGCAAUCUGUCAUGAUCAAGAAACAACAACAAUAUCAUCAAUCUGUUCUAAAUUUGUCAACGUUUUGUCUAACAUGUGCCUCUACACAUGGGUUUGCUUAGUCAAAGCAGAACAAGAAGAAGAAGAAGAAGAAGAAAUAAAAGACAACCAAAUACUUAUGGUGCUUAGCGUGGACUGUCGGUCUCGCUUGGACCCUCCUAUACCUGCAACCUAUUUUGGCAACUGCAUAACGGGCCAGGGGCAUUUGCAGAAGAAAAAAAAGGACUUUUGGGAGAAGAUGGGUUCUUUGUGGCUGUAAAUGCGAUCAGUAAAGCCAUAAAAGGUUUGAAUGACGGGGUCUUGAACAAUGUUUUCAAAGGCGAUGCGUAUAGGCGAGGCGUUUUUAGUAGCGCUAUGCGAGGCGUAAGCCUUGAAGCAUUGAGGCGUAAGCCUUUUGAACAUUAAGUUAUUUUAAUAAGAAAAAUUUAUGAAUAAUACAAUACGAUUAAAUUGUACAACUAAUUCUUAUUCAACCAUAACAAUCUUUUAAAUAUAAUCAAAUAUAAGUACUAAUUGUCAUUCAAAACAUAAUAAUCUAUCCCAAAACAUAAUAAUCACAUAAACGAAUAAGAUAACUAGUGUAUUUAAAAAAAAAUCGAAAAAAAUUUAUACGAAACUUCAAAUUAUAGUUUAUUAUAGUCAAAUUAUACAAGUAUGAUGCAUGUACGUCAAAAAAAAAAAACAAAAAAAAAAAAGACUUACUUGCAAUCGAAAGAUGAAGAGAAUUCUUGAAAUUGAUGGAGUUAUCUGGUAAGGGUAGAAAUUAGGGUUGUACACGUACUACACAAUAUAUAUAUAUAUAAAAAAGAUAAGUCUAUACGUUAUUAUAUUAAUUUAGAGAAAGAAAGGAAAAAAAAAAAAAAAAAAGGUAAGAACAAAAGCUACAGUCGGUGGGAGUUAGGGAAAAAAAAAAAGAUAUUAAUUCUUCCCUUAAGUUUAUUACAUAAAAGGUAAAGAAAAAGAGGAAAAAAAAAAAAGGGUAAGUAUCAAAGCUACAGUCGUUUCACUCAAAUACAAAAACUGAAACGUUUUUUUUUUUUGUUUUUAUAAAAAAGGUAAGUACAAAAAAAAAAAGGUAAGUACAAAAACUGAAACUUUGGUUUUUAAUUUUUUCAACAUACUCCAAGUGAAACGACGUCGUUUCACUCAAAGAUUUCUUUUUAAAACACUGCAAUCAAAACGACGUCGUUUGAUUAUGCCUAAAAAAAAAUAAAAAAAAACUGGGUCAUCUUCCUCGCGAGGUCGUCUUCCUCGCAGAGAAGUUUCAGAUUUUUCAGAUUCUCAACGCCUCGCAGAGAAGUUUCAGUUUAGAUUUUUCAGAUUCUCAACGCCUCUCACGCCUUCCAACGCCUCUCACGCCUUCCCAGCGCUAAACGUGCAACUCGCGAAACAGCCGAUCGCCUCGGGCGUUUUCCUCCCGCCUCGCUCCGACGCGCGCUCCGACGAGCGCGAAGGCAUGCCUUUGAAAACACUGGUCUUGAAUGGGGCAGGGAACUUAGUUUCGAGUUUGUACCUUUCUGAAUCUGAUCUUCAGGCUACUACUGAUCAUUCCAGGGUGUUUACCACCGCUGGAUCACAUCAGUUUAAGAUGUACGAUACUGAUUUCGGGUGGGGAAGACCAAAGAGUACCGAAGUGGUUCCUAUAGGUAGAAGAGGAGCCAUCACUUUUUCAGAUGGCAAGAAUGGAGGUGGAGCUGUUGACAUUGGCUUGGUUCUGCAGAAACAUCACAUGGAGGUUUUUGCUUCUCUAUUUCCUAAGAAAGCAGAGAAUAAUUUGCCUGCAUCGGCUCCACCUGCUUCUGUGCCUGAAGCAUCAGCGCCAACUAGCACUAGUACCCCAGAGGGUAAUGAUACUAAUGAGGAAGGAAUGCUAGGCUUUUCUGAAUUUUCUCCCUUUUUAUUCUCUUUAUAUUUGCAAGUUUCCAUUUGAAAUCUUCAUAUAACUGAAAUAUAAUUUGUAAAUUUGCAUUUUUCUGAAUUUAGUCAUCAAUUUGCUUUUCUAUAAUGACGAAAUUGCAUUUAUUGUAGUUGAGGGUUAUUCUGUUUACGUAAGGAAUUUCCCCUUAAAUGUGACGGCUAAUCAGCUUGAGGAAGAAUUCAAGAAAUUUGGACCAAUAAAGCAAGGAGGUAUCCAAGUUCGAAAUAAGAAGGUUAGUCUCUAAUGUGAGAUGUCUUCCGUGCCAGAAGUGUCUCCUGCUCAGAUAUAGAUUUUCUGACAUAUUUGUGUGUGCCGCUGCAGGGAUACUGUUUUGGAUUUGUUGAGUUUCUGUCUGCAAGUUGCCAUUCAGGUAGGUGUUUAAAUUCUAUUUCCUAUGUUCUGUAUUCAAGUUCCAUGAAUAGUGCCAUUCAUGAAUAGUGCUAUAGGAUGUGGAUGCACCUCAACAAGUUACAGCAGUUAACCUAAUUUGACAGAAAUUGAAGAUUGGACUUGAAUUGUUUAAAUUGAAAACCACCGUGGCAAAAAUGAUCAAAUUGAAACCACAUGGACCUUAGUGAUAAAAGUGGGAAACCACAUGACCAAAAGUGACGUUUUGCCAACUUUCAUUUAUGGUACCCUUUGUUCAUAUACAUCUCAUUCUAUAGGAAGUGCAAUGAAGAUAUUUACUCUUUAAGAUAUCCUUACUUCUUAAGCUAUUCUUCUUAGAACCUUACGAAAGUAAGUAAGUCAUUCAUAUGAGUAAUCAAGUCUAUAAUUUGAACACAAUAGGAAAUCAAAUUCAUUAGGGUUUAGACGUACUUAGUUAGGAUUUUGGUUCCUUAUUUUAUUAGAAUUUUGGUUACUUACCAAUUAUUAUUUAGUCCUAUUGUAAGAGAGAUUUACUUCCUAUUGUAAUUUAGAUAUAUUUUUUAUUUUAUUUAGGGUACACAUCUUUGUACUUGUAUAAAUACCUCCAUAUUAGAGAAGACUAAUAAUAUGAGUGUAUCUUAGCAUAUUUGAAUAUUUACCCUACUGUGUUUGACAAUAAGUAGUAAACGUACGGCGUUGGACGAAUUGAAAACCAAUCCAAUGGUGACAUUUACCUAUAUGUACUAACACCUAGUACAUAAGCCUUGAAAAUGAAUUGAUUACCAAUCCAGUGGUGACAUUUACCGGUAUGGUGAUCCCCCACUUUUAAAACUUGAAAAUGAUAUGCACCAAACCAAUUGUAUUGCACCAAAUACACGUCCUUUUGCUCUUAAAGAGAGAGAAUAAAUUCUCCUUUUUCGUAUGCUUCUACUGUGCUGCAUACAACAACUUUAGUUUUAUCUUGCCUCUUUUGAUCAUUCGGUGUUUGCCUUAUAUUUGUCUCCAUUUCCUAUUGGGUGUGCUAGCAACUUUGUGAACGACAAGAAGAGUUCGUAAGUUUCUCCUCUGUUCUUGUUGUUUCCUAUUUUUGUUUAUGAGUUGCUUGGUACAUUUGUUUUACAUCUCUUUUGAUAAUUGUUUGCGAGCAAGAAUUUGAGUACUGUUAUUGGCUCAAAUGUUUGAGAGUGUAUUGGGUGUAUUGGCUCAAAUGAUAGACUACAAAGUCGAACUAGUAUAAAUCAUGUGUAUUAUUGGUUUAUUUAUAUUUGUCAAAUUUUGCAUCUGCUUCAUAUAGGUCACAUAUAUACUACGCCUCCGUACAACACUAAGCACUUGGGCAGAUUCCAUCUGACCUGUCUAGUAAUAAUGAUAAAAAUAGGGCAAAAGGUUCCAGUUGGCAAUGGCAGAACCUGCUAAAAUAGAUACAGUAAUCAAUUAGGAUAGUAUCUCCUAAUUAUACAAUGAUUUGUCAACUAUAUAGAAUAGGAAAGUAAAUCCCUUAAUUAAUCAAUGAAAUAAAUCUCUUUAAUUAAUUAGGAGACUCACAUCAACACUCUUCCUCAAGUUGGUGCAUAUAUGUCAUUAAUGCCCAACUUGGUAAGUGAGUCAUGAAAUACUCUGUCACAAACAGCUUUUGUUAAGAUAUCUGCUAAUCGAUCUUCUGAUUUUACGAAUGGUAGGCGGAUGAUCUUAUUCUCAAUUUUUUCUUUGAUAAAAUAUUUAUCCACCUCAACAUGUUUGGUUCGAUCAUGUUCAACUGGAUUGUGGGCAAUAUCGAUAGCUGACUUGUUGUCACAAUGCAACUUCAUUGGCUUUUCUGGCUUAAAGCCCAAUUCUGUCAAUAGUCUUCUGAUCCACAAUAAUUCACAAACUCUGUGAGCCAUUCCUCGAUACUCUGCUUCUACACUAGACCGAGAAACCAAAUUUUGCAUUUUACACCACCAAGUGACUAGGUUACCUCCCAUGAAUGUAAAGUAACCUGAAGUAGAGCGUCUAUCUGUAAUAGAACUAGCCCAAUCAGCAUCUAUGUAUCCAAUAACUUCAAGAUCUCCAUUUUGGAGCACAUUAAUCCUUUUCCAAGAGCUGACUUUAAGUAUUUUAAGAUCCGAUCACCUGCAUUCCUAUGAGAAAUACUAGGCAAAUGCAUAAACUGACUAACCACACUCACAGCAUAUGCAAUAUCUGGUCUUGUGUGUGCCAAAUAUAUCAACCUUCCAACAAGGCGUUGGUACUGUUCCUUAUUGGUUGGUUCUUGGUCCAUGUCUUCACACAACUUAUGAUUCAUCUCAAUGAAUGUGUCAGCAAGCUUACAUCCAAGUAUUCCUGGUUUAGUGAGUGGAUCCAUUACAUACUUCCUUUGAGACAGAAAUAUAUCAAUUUUUAAUCUUGCUACUUCGAUUCCGAGAAAGUACUUCAAAUCACCUAAAUCCUUCAUCUCAAAUUCCUGAGACAAAUACUUUUGCAACUUCAAUUGUUUCCAGUUACGAUUAUGUCAUCUACAUAAACAAUCAAUGCAGUAAGUUUUCCUUCAUCACGCUUCAAGAAUAGGGUGUGAUCUGAAUUACUCUAUGUAUAUCCAAAAUUCUUCAUAGAUUUAGUAAAUUUGCCAAACCAUGCCCUAGGAGAUUUCUUUAACCUAUAUAAUGACUUUCUGAGCUUGCAAACUUGAUUUUUCUUAUCAGGAGCUGAAUUACAUCAUGGGGUAAGUCCAUAUAUACUUCUUCUUCCAAGUCUCCAUGUAAGAAUGCAUUUUUGACAUCAAAUUGAUGUACUGGCCAAUCGAGAUUUGCUGCUAGAGACAAUAGAACUCUAAUAGUGUUAAUCUUGGCUACUGGGGCAAAGGUCUCCUCGUAAUCUAUCCCACAUCUCUGUGUGUACCUCUUCGCCAUCAAUCUAGCUUUAUAUCUUUCAACGUAUCCAUCUGCUUUGAGUUUCACAGUAUAAAUCCACCUGCAUCCUACUGUCUUCUUUCCAUGAGGUAAAGGCACGAGUUCCCAUGUGACAUUCUUUUGGAGAGCUCGCAUUUCUUCAUUCAUAGCUUCUUUCCAUUUUGGGUCUUCUAGUGCUUCAGUUACAAUGUUGGGGACAUAUAUGUCAGCCAACUGCUUCACAUAGUGCACACGUGACUCUGAUAAUCUGCUGUGAGAUAUAUAAUUAUUGAUGAGGUAUUUUCCUUUGGCUUUAAGAUCUACUUUAUAUUGUACUAGAGCUUUGCCACGGUUCUUCCUUUCUGAAAGCUGAUAUGUAGGCUCUAUGCCUUCUGAAAUCAAAUCAUCAUGGGAUAUUUCAUUAGUGUUAUCAGUUUUAGGAAAAGAUGUUACCUGAAUGACUUCCUCAGCAGGUGAUUGGUGCGGUAAUAGAGCUGAAGCGGGCAAAAUCUCAAAAAACGGUUCAAUUUCCUCCUCAUGAUUUUGAUAGCGUGGAGCCAACUUAUCGUUUUCCUCUGGCGACUGGUCUUAUCUACUGGCGACCGGUCUUUUUGAAGCAGGUUCUCUAUAGUUGAAGAACUAAGGGGAGGUGAUCGGUUUCUUUCCACUGAAAAUCGAUCAUUUUGAUGCAGAGUGACAUCCUAGGGAAAAAAAAUCAAGAAUUGGAGCAGUGGUGGAUUCUUGAUUCUCCUCUUAGGCUGUUGAAAAAUAUAAGUCAUGUUCCUCAAACACAACAUCUAUGGAGGGGAAGAUCUUAUGACUAGGAGGAUGAUAAUACCGGUAUCCUUUCUGAUGAGAUGCAUAACCAAUGAUCCAAUUUACUUCUGAGGAUGAAAACACAACUUUUCGGCUCGGGGAUCCAAUUUACUUCGUUGGUGAUCAUGUAAGUGGACAAAUACAACACAGCCAAAAAUUCAAGGUUCCAGGUUUGGGGUGGGAAGUGUUUGGAUAUGGUGGUGAAGUGUUUGAAGUAGUGUUUGGAAAUUUAAGAUACUAUAGGGAAUCCGAUUGAUAAGGUAUGCUGCAGAGACGACGGCUUCGCCCCAAAAGGAUUGUGGCAUAUUGGCACCAAAAAGAGAGGCACGAACGACUUCCAAUAAGUGUCUGUUCUUUCUUUCAACCACCCCAUUCUGUUGGGGAGUGUAAGGGCAUGAGCGUUGAUGUAUGAUGUCAUGAUCUUCAAAGAACUGGUUAAGAUUAUGGUUGAGAAAUUCUCCGCCAUUGUCAGAACGAAGAACCUGAAUUCUAGCAUGAAACUGAGUCUCCACCAUUUGAUAAAACUGUUGAAACCUGGAACUGACUUCCCUUUUAGUUUUGAGAAGGGAAACCCAAGUCAUGCGUGUGCAAUCAUCUAUAAACGUGACAAACCAUCGAGCCUCUACCGGAGUUGCAAUUUUAGCAAGUCCCCAAACAUCAGAAUGAACAAGAGAAAAUGGAACCAAACUCUUAUUUGAACUUAAUGGGAACAGGACAUGAUGGCUCUUAGCCAAUUCAUACGUAUCACACUGGAAGCUGGAAAUAUCAAGACUGAAAAAUAAUGAUGAAAACAACUUCUUAAGAUAACCGAACGAGGCAUGCCCAAGACGUUUAUGCCAUAACCAAAUUUUGUCUCUCUCCUCCUCAAAACGGGUUCCACUGGUUCUAAAAGCUUGACCAAUAUUGACCUCAUUAUCCGGUGCCCAGUCCAAGUAGUAGAGUUUGCCUGUCGAGUACCACAACCAAUCGUCUUUCCUGUGAGGAUGUCCUGAAAAACACAAUUAUUCGGCCAAAAUGUUACGGUACACCCCAAAGUAGUAGUAAGUUGUGGAACAGAUAACAAGUUAUGAUCCAAAGAUGGGACAAGUAAUAAAUAAUUCAGAUGUAGGGAAGUAGAGAGAGAUAGAGAACCCUCCCCAACUACAGGGAAAGGGGUACCAUUAGCAUUAGACACCGCCGACAAAGUGGAUGAUUUACGACUAAUAAGUUGGCUAGGAUCAAAAGUCAUGUGAUCCGUAGCACCCGAGUCGAUAAUCCAUGCGGAUUUUUGAGAUGACGUAUGAAAAGUAGAACCUUUGGUGGUGGCGAUAGAAACAUGAGUCCGAGUAGCCAGGUCAGCAGGAUUGACCACAUGCUUCUUUGAGUCUGCAAUAAGGAGGAGAAUCGUAGGGGUUCCUAACAUUACAGCGGAAGUAAGAUGUGAUAUGAGAAUGUGAGGAAUUAUGAUUGGAGGAAUUUGAGUUGAGGAAUUUGAUGUAGGAAUUAAAUUUGAGAGGUAUGUGUAUAAGAUUUGAGGGUAUGUGUUUAGGAAUUUUGAUAAGAGGAUUUGAGGACUUUAGAUUUGAGGGAUUUGGAUUUGGGGAAAAUAUGAGGAAUUUGAUUUAGGGUUUGAGAUUUGAAUAUGAGAAAUUUGAGAUAAGGGUUUAGAGACAACCUAGGAUCGAUUGUUCUGAUACCAUGCUAAAAUAUGAAUAUGGUUUGAAUACUUUGAGUUGGGUUUGUCCCGUUACGCAUAUGAAUUUUUAUAGAAGAAGUACGCAAGAUUUGGUUAUCAGGGUGUUAGAAAAAUAAGGGGUUUAAUUGCUAUAUUUAAAGAAGAAGAAAAAAGAACUUAAUUCGUGCAAAUAAAUACCAAAUUAAAUGCAUAAAAUAAUUAGAACAAUAUGAGAGAAGUUUUAGAAAAAUCAGAAUAUUGUCGAGUCUAAAACUUAGUUCUAUCUUUUUAAGAUGAAAUUGCUCAUCACUGGUGCUUCAGGUUCCAAUGGCAAACAUCUCCCAAAAUACAAUAACUUCCUUCUUGUGAUAGUAACAUUUCAUGCCACAAGAACAACGAAUGCUGACUUGUGCUUGAACUAUGUCUCAAUAUAAGACUCUAUUUUACUGACAAAGACUCAUGUAUGCAGUGAAUGAAAAACUCUUUAUUGCCCUGGGGUGCAAUCUUUUGCUGAGGUGCCAGCUUUCCUAGUGAAUUGUUUGCCUGCGGAUGCUGUUGGAGUGUCCAGGUCCCGUGUUGUUUGUGGGCUCUUAGCCUCUAUUGUUAAAAAAAUAAAAAAUAAAAAACUCUUUAUUAAAUUCUCAAUGUGUUGCCGUAUUUAUAAUACUAAAAAAAACCUGUUUAGAGGGGCUGUGUCAUAAUGAAAAGUCAAAGUGUACAACUCUUAUAUAACUUUUCAUUUAAAACCUGUUCAUUGUCACUUCUAAUUUUAUACAUCCUAUAAUAAGAAAUCUUUUAAUAUUAAAAUAUUAAAAUUUUCCAACAAUCCCCACAUGGAUGUAAAAAAUUAAUCAACAAAAUAAAAAUAAAAAUACAAACACUUGAGAGAGUUCGAUCGGAAAGAUACCACGUCAGGAUAGGUAGUUAUUGGCCUUGAACCUUUCCUAGUGAAAUACCAUCAAGUUUACUUGGAUAAUUAGUGAAUGCGGUUUCUUCAACUACUUAGCCGUUUGUGUAAUCUCAUACGAUAGUAUUCACACAAUACCUCACCAUACACAUCUAGUUCUAAGUUGUGUCCCAGACGAUAGUGUUGCACUAGUAAUAGAACCAUGUUAAACAUAAUUAACAUAUUCUAAUUACCAUACCCUCAUUAAUUGAUUAAAAUACAUAAAUAUGAAAGACUAACUUUCAUUUAUGGUACCCUUUGUUUAUAUACAUCUCAUUCUAUAGGAAGUGCAAUGAAGAUAUUCUUACUUCUUAAGCUAUUCUUCUUAGAAACUUACGAAAGUAAGUAAGUCAUUCACAUGAGUAAUCAAGUCUAUAAUUUGAACACAACAGGAAGUCAAAUUCAUUAGACUAAUCAAGUCUAUAAUGCUAUGGUUUGGGGAUAAGUAGUAAUCGUACGGCGUUGGACGAAUUGAAAACCAAUCCAAUGGUGACAUUUACCUAGUACAUAAGCCUUGAGAAUGAAUUGAUUACUGGCUGUGAAGAAAGAUGCGUGCUUUUAUUUCUGUUUUAUUUAAUAAAGCUGGAAAGUGGCGUGUAACACUUGCCAAGGGAAAAUUGUCUUCCUUCUUCUUCUUUGAAUCUUAUAUAACCUGAAACCACAAUAACUUUAAGAGGGAAAGAAAAUAUAAAUAUAAAUAAAGAAAAGAAAACCAAAAUAAAUAAUAACAACAAACUCAAUUAUGUAAAUUAGGAAUCCAAAUUCUAAAUUAAUUUAGGAAUUCCCGUCAACGGAGUCAAAAACUUGGUCUGUCCUUGCAAGUGCACAAGAUUGAUGUAGUAUAGCGUUUGACAAAUUCAGGUAUCGUUCCCACGAGGAUUCCAAAUUAAUCUAAUAUUCAAAUACCUAAAUUAAAUCUAACUGAUACGCAAGUAAAUUUAUAAAGAUUGUUGUUGUGAAAGUUUAUGAAACAAACAAUGAAAUUAAUAAAAGCAAUUGAGAAUAAAAAUUAAAUUAAAUUUUAAGGUUGAAAAAGAAUGAUGAAGGUCUAGUUCGGAAUCAACCACAAGCAAUCCAAGUUAGAUUUCAAUGCAUUCAAUAUAUUCUUUCGAUUCUUUAGAUGAUAAUUCACGUAUCUAAGUCCUUUUCAGGCACUCAUACCAUAGUUUUUCUUAAGUGUAAGAUUCUUUUCUAGUUCAGACAAAGAUCAUAUACCCAAUCCUGCAAUCUAUCCUGGUUAAGGCAUAAAUUUAACAAAGUGGAUUCAUUAUGUUCUAGAAAACGAGAGAACCAAGCAAACCAUUAUUCUUCGUCAAGCAAUAAUGUAAUUCACCACACUUUAUCACAAUAAGCUAAUUGAAUUAUAUUGCGAGUUCUACCUCAAAUUCAUCUUCCAAUUUACUAGAUGCAAAGCCCUAAGGUGAUCAAUCAAAGAACUUAAACAAAUAGCAACAAUUAAAAUAGUAAUUAAUAAACAUUCAUCUAAAAGAAACUUAGAAUCUAUUAAAUAACAUUAGAAAUCAUAACUAUCCAUGCUCGGGCGUCAUCCUCACCCUAGAGAAUAAUUUAGUUACUCAUGUUCAAAGAAAACAUAAAAUAAAACUUAUGGAUUAUGACGAUGCUUGAGAACUUGAUGAUGGCAGCGAUUCUUUGACUCUCCUUCCAACUCCAGCAUGAGAGAACCCUAUUUUCUGGUCUUCUUUAAAUAAGGAACAAAUCCUCUUUUGACUUAGUAACUAUGCUUUCCUAGUUUGGCUUCAAUUGUCUUUGGUGAGUUGGCAUCCAAAAUCUUACUAAAUAUAGGAUCAGACCUUAGAAAAUAACUUUGCAUUCUUGUAGACACUUUCAAAAUGCAAUUGACAUAAAUUGGACUCCAAGGAUUGGACUUCAAAAGGAUUAUUUUGCAAAACCCGCAGAACACAUUCUGCCCGAACUGUCCGUACUAAAAUGGCCACAACUCUCUUCACACACGUCCGAAUCACGAACCGUAAAAUUCUACAGAAAGCUAACAUCCGUAUCUUUCCAAUGAUAUAAGGCUCAACAUCUGGUUCGCUCUGAGGAAGUACAGUAUAUUCUGUAAAGUUGUCCGAUCUGCACAGCACAUUCUGCUCCUAGGAUUUCACAUUACAUUUCAAUCCCGAAAUUGCUUCUUUUUCUUGCUUUUCCAUCUUUACUCUUCAAAUUUAGUAAAACACAAAACUAAGUAAAAAUAGACUAAACUCACUCAAGAACACAACAAGAAUCUAAGAAAAGAGAAGGAUAAAAAAAAAUGUACAAUGGUUAUAUCAAUUACCAAUCCAGUGGUGACAUUUACCGGUACGGUGACCCCCCACUUUUAAAACUUGAAAAUGAUGAUAUACCAAACCAAGUGUGGUUUUGUGGCUUCUAUUGUGUGGCGUGGCCUGAUAUCAGCCCCAUUUUGUAUUUCAUCAAAUACACGUCCUUUUGCUCUUAACGAGAGAGAAUAAAUUCUCCUUUUUCGUAUGCUUCUACGGUGCUGCAGUGUAUACAACAACUGCACUUCUUGUUGUUUUGAUCAUGCGGUGUUUGCCUUAUAUUUGUCUCCAUUUCCUAUUGGGUGUGCUAGCAACUUUGUGAACGACAAGAAGAGUUCGUAAGCUUCUCUUCUAUUUUUGUUGUUUCCUCUUUUUAUUGGCUCAAAUGUUUGAGAGUGUAUUGGGUGUAUUGGCUCAAAUCAUAGGCUACGAAUUCGAACUAGUAUAAAUCAUGUGUAUUAUUAUUGGUUUAUUUAUAUUUGUCAAAUUUUGCAUCUGCUUGAUAUAGGUCACAUAUAUACUACGCCUCCGUACAACACUAAGCACUUGGACAGAUUCCACCUGACCUGUCUAGUAGUAGUGAUAAAAAGAGGGCAAAAGGAUCCAUCUCCAUUUGGCAAUGGCAGAACCAACAAGCUCGGUUAAAGUAGUUGAAGUUUGCAGGGUGGCUCCUCCUCCUCCAUCCUCAUCCGGUGCAUUCGCAUCCCCAAGCUCCCUUCCCCUUACCUUCUUCGACAUCCGUUGGUUAAGAUUUGCCCCCGUCCAGCGCCUUUAUUUCUACGAAAUGCCUACUUCCUCUGCAACACCACUCUUCUUUGACUCCAUACUUGUCCCAAAACUCAAAGCCUCACUCUCUUACACCCUCCAGCACUUUCUACCUCUGGCAGGAAACCUCACUUGGCCUCAAGACUCCCAAAAACCCGUCCUUAACUAUGUCCAAGGCGACACCGUUUCGCUCACAAUAGCAGAGUCUGGUGCUGACUUCUACCACCUUUCAAGUGGUGACUUUGUUGAAGCCACAGAGUACCAUCCUCUUGUACCCCGAUUGGAAGCGUCUCAUGAACAAGCUGCAGUGAUGGCAUUGCAAAUCACUGUCUUUCCCAACUGUGGCUUUUCGAUUGGAACUUCCAUACACCAUGCAGUCCUAGAUGGCAAGAGUAUAACUUUUUUUGUAAAAUCAUGGGCUCACAUUUGCAAACAUGAUGAUCAAUCUAAUUCAGUGCUACCUGAUGAGAUGAAACAAUUUUAUGAUUCAGGAUCCAGCUGAGCUUGGAACAAUCUACUCCAACGACUAUCGAAAUAAGGACGGUCCCAACAAUAGGAGCUUAAUAUUUUGGGAGAUGAAACUACCACCAGACUCAAUCCGAGGCACCUUUGAAUUCACACGAGCAGAUAUAGAAACACUGAGGCAAUCGUUCAAGGCUAAAAUGGCAGAGCAGAAACCAGUUCAUGUGUCAACUUUCACUCUAGCUUGUGCCUAUACAUGGGUUUGCGUAGUCAAAGCAGAGGACAUAAAAGCUGACAAAGCACGUCUGAUCUUUGGCAUGGACUGCAGCCUGCAGGUCUCGCUUGGACCCUCCUAUACCUGCAAACUAUUUUGGAAACUGCAUAGCAGGAUGUAUACCAGUUGCCGAAACGAAAGGCUUGCUUGGAGAAGAUGGGUUGGUUGUCGCCGUGAAUGCAAUUAGUGAAGCUAUAGAAAGAUUGAAGAAGGGGGUUUUGGAUGGGGCAGAGAAUUGGGUUUCAAGGUUGUUUGGUGUGAGAAGUGAGGAAAGAAUUCUCAGCAUUGCUGGUUCAAAUCGGUUUGGAAAUUAUGAUACUGAUUUUGGAUGGGGAAGACCAAAGAAGUUUGAGAUUGUUUCCAUAGAUAGAACCAGAGCUAUCUCCCUUUCAGAUUCCAAGAAUGGUGCUGGGGCUAUUGAAGUUGGGUUGGCUUUAGACAAACACGACAUGCACGUUUUUGCUUCUCUAUUUGCUAAAGGUCUUCGAAACCUUUGAAGAGCAUGAAGCCUCCGCAACAACAUUUUCUUUUUGCACUUUAUAUUUUCUGGAAUAAUAAUUUGGGAUUCGUUGGUCAAUAGUAGACCAACCUUUGUAUGCUCUCAACAAACAGCUUUGUGAUGAUUUUUCCUUUGGACCAGGUGCAGGUGGCUCUGUCCGUCUCUUUUCCUAUGUACUGCAUCAAAUAAACUUCUUAGUGUUUUUUCCUUUGGUCAACUAUAAAAGUUGACAAACUUUGUAUGCUCUCAGUAAUUACCUUUGUGAACAUGUUGUUCUUUGGACCAGGUAGCUAACUCUGUUUCUUUUCCUAUGUACAGUCUCUAAUAUCUGUUUAUUUUCCUCUGUAUUAUUUCCAGUCAAAAACAAUGUGCUUACUUUACUUUCCUUCUCUUCCAAAACACUAUUUUAAUGUAUAGUAUUCAACCAAAGUUGAAAUAUAUAUGUGAAAUCGUAUUUUAAAUAUAUAUAUUAAUAUUUUGGGAAAUUAAAUGUUUUGUUAUCUAUUUAGUUUAUAAUUUAAAUUAUAUUUAAUUGAUUAUAUACGUACAUGGAGCUUUCAUUGAGGGAUCCCUCAAAUAAGCUUAUUUGAAAGACACCCUCCGCAUUGUAUUUCACUAAUCCAAACCGUCUAUUUUUUUUAAAAAUGAAAACAACAUUACAAGUUGUUCACGUCAAGUUUUCAUAUUAUGAAAACUUAGCAACUAUUGUUGAUUUUAAAGGACUUUGAAAUGGCCAUGGGGCUGUCAAAAGAAAUACUGAACUUGCCUUCAAGAUAGGUACUAUGCGAAAUGCAAUGCAUGGGAUCUCCCUAUAUUCAGAGAGUGACAUGUCAUGCAAGCAAUAAAACUAAUUGCAUUUUUCCCAUUUAUGCUGAUUUCUAAGUAUUUAUCUUGAAUUUAUAUUAUUGUUUCUAACUUCAAUGUAAAAGGAAGGAGCAUUAAAUGAAUCAUGUCUAAUUAUUUUUUACCAAAAGCUUUUUUAAAAAAAAGAGUUUUUCUAUCUAAAUCCUACAUUUUUUUUAAAUUCUAAUAUUUAAAUAAUUAAUUUCUUAAGUUUUAGUAUUAUGUAAAAAGACAAAAAAAAAAAAGUCAUCCAACUUAAUACUUAACCCUAGUACAUCUAUACACACACCCCACCACUCUUCAUUUUAAGUUUUAAAAAAACACAAACUCUUCUACACCCUAUUGCUAGAUUACUAAUCUCUUCCAAUCCAAAAAAACUAACUACACUCUCAUCUUCUCUUCACAAAACCUAAAUACGGUAUGCAAAUAGUGGAUUGUGGAUCGUCAAUUGAGGUAUGUAAUGUGAAAAGUCGCUAUCAAGAAGACCACCUGCUAAUUUCUCCAAUCAAACUUCUGAAUUUUGUGCAAGAAUUUGAUCAUGGCUUCUCAAGGAAGGUAAAGACUGUGAGUCUCUGUUGUACAAUAAGUAAUGAUAGCUAAAAUUAGCAAUUAAUCACUAAGCUUCAAAGUAGAGUGAUGAGGGGCAAAAUAGCUGGGUGUGGGGUUGAUGAGUUUUUUUAUUUUAAUUUAUGUUGGGUGUGUAUUUAGGGAUAGUUUGGGAAGAUAGUGGAGUUUUCUUAGAAAUUGUAAAACUUUGAGUUAGAAAUUGGGAUGAACUUAUGGGGUAAACAAGAUAAGUGCGGAGUUUAAAUAGAAAAAUUCAACAAAAAAAACUUCCAGUUAUUUCUAAGAGCAUCCACAGUGGGAGAGUGUAUCUUCGGGGGUGUAAAGCCACUUUUACAUCCCAUAUACACCUUCGGGGGUUGUAAAUCAUUUUUGCUUCAGUGAGAAAGAUGUAAAUCUAAAGAUGUAUAAUUGAUUUCUUUUACUUUUUCUGUUAUAGGUCUCACUUUUGUCCACUUUUUCUCACAUUUUCUCAUGUAGGUCCCACCUGCAAGAGAUAUAAAAAAAGAUGUACAUGUGCAUCUAAAUUUACAUCUCAUGAUGGUGAUGUAAAUUUACACUCGUUUACGCCUCUUUAUUACGAGUGAUUCCAAUUACAAAUAAUGUAUAUUUAACGUGCACCUCAUUAUACACACUCCCACCAUAGAUCCUCUAAGGCAAGUUGCCUUUUUAAACAACAGAGCGCAUCCCUAACUUGGUGCCCAAUGCCUAUGCGUUUUUGAAAGAAAAGGGCAGCGGUGGUUAUGGGUGAAGGGUGAAGUUUCGUCGGGAAGUUUCGUCGAACACUUGGUGGGCAUAUUGGGGUCGCUCACCAAGCUUCCAAGGGGUCGACGGAGCACCUUCCCAGCCACUUUUCCGGCGUCCAAGGGGUCCGCACUGUGGGUCCGCCCAACCCUUGGCUUUUCUGUGAAUUAGAUAUGGUCGAUAGUUUCUAAUUCCAAUAGUCCAAUGGCAGAGCUAAGCUCAACUUCAGUGAAACUAGUUGAGGUCUGCAGGGUAGCUCCACAACCACAACCAGAUGUUGCAGAGUUUUCUCUUCCCCAAACCUUCUUCGACCUCCUAUGGCUAAGGUUUCCACACUUCCACCGCCUUUUCUUCUACGAAAUAUUGGCUUCCUCUGCCUCAGCUGACACAAAACCCUUCUUUGAUUCUCUACUCUUUCAAAAACUCAAAGCCUCACUCUCUGUCACCCUCCAACACUUUCUACCUCUGGCAGGAAAC
rnacentral:lncRNA from 1 species